rnacentral:rRNA from 1 species
UACAGAGGUCCCAAGCGUUGUUCGGAUUCACUGGGCGUAAAGGGUGCGUAGGUGGCCAGGUAAGUUCGGUGUGAAAGCUCGGAGCUUAACUCCGAAAUGGCAUUGAAUACUAUCUGGCUAGAGGGUCGGAGGGGAGACUGGAAUUCUCGGUGUAGCAGUGAAAUGCGUAGAUAUCGAGAGGAACACCAGUGGCGAAGGCGAGUCUCUGGACGACACCUGACACUGAGGCACGAAAGCCAAGGGGAGCAAACCAGG